GUUUGUAAUACCUCAUCCUGUUUCCCUUUGGUUAUUGGUGUGCUGGUUGAUACUCCAUUUUGUGGCAUACGGAAGCAGAACACGAAAGGGGUACCUUGAUUUUCUGUAUAGCCCUGCCUGAAAAAAGACAUUUUUUCCAAGGCAUAGUGGAUUCCCAAUCCGGGCGUAUCAAUCCUUCAAGGGUGUGAAGCGUGUGUGCUUGGCAAGCGAAAGCUUCGAAGAGGUAUCACCGAAAGCGAUCACAAUAAGGAGACACAGGAGAGGUGAUCGUGCCAACCCACUUGGAGCAAGUUUGGUUCGUUCAGUUCUCGUCGGUCGAAUUGUGUGUUUGUGCGAUCUGUGCGUGUCCUUUGUAGCCCCUUGUCUUUUCAUCGCUUGCGCGUGUGAUUAGUACCGUCGGAGAAACUCACAAAAAGAACCGGAACCGGUUGGUAGCUAGAUUCACCGUAGUGGUGUUGCCUUGUUGUGUCUUGUUUCGUUGCGCUUACAAGCGCAUCAUCAGGCGGAUACAAUUCGGUCCACAACCAAAGAACGCUACCUUCUCCAGCAAACGGCAACGGCGCCGCAUCCACGGACCAGCGUUAGUCAA